rnacentral:rRNA from 1 species
UACGUAGGGUGCAAGCGUUAAUCGGAAUUACUGGGCGUAAAGCGUGCGCAGGCGGUUGUGUAAGACAGAUGUGAAAAUCCCCGGGCUCAACCUGGGAACUGCAUUUGUGACUGCACGGCUCGAGUGCGGCAGAGGGGGAUGGAAUUCCGCGUGUAGCAGUGAAAUGCGUAGAUAUGCGGAGGAACACCGAUGGCGAGGGCAAUCCCCUGGGCCUGCACUGACGCUCAUGCACCGAAAGCGUGGGGAGCAAACAGG